UUCAGCAGUUUAAAAACACAUAAUUUGUAAAUAAAUCCGAGGCAUUACUUUUGGAGCAACCUAUGAAUAUUGCCACAUUUAUAGUGGAGAGAGACAGUAACCUUUCAGCAUCCUGGAACAAUAGUCCUGUUUGAAGGGAAAGUUUUAUUUGGUUGGAAGUGAUGCUUGAAUAGAGACUUGCAAGCCAACUCAUGUCCAGGUGCUAACCUCAGUGAGAACCUCUUCCUUUUAGAAAGACACCUUAUUCUGAAAGGCAUUCUGCUCUCUAGCUCAGUUUACUGGAAUAGCAGGGAGUGGCUCCCUGCUUAUUUGUAAUAGCUUGCAGCCACACCAAUGACUGCACGUCUGAAAAGCUGCCUGGAGAUGAUAUAACAAACCUGUGACCUGCUGUAGGGAACCUGCUUUGGCAGGGGGGUUGGACUCGAUGAUCUCUGGAGGUCCCUUCCAACCCCUACAAUUCUGUGAUUCUGUGAAACCGUUUGGUUUCUCUCAAUCCUAAAUUGCAGCAAUCAUGUCACAUGUUUGUCUCCAGAGUCAUAGAUUUGAUGUUGACUUCUGUAACCUCUAUUGUCUACUGUUUAUCCCAGUUUAUCUGGAAACUUAGUUGACAGAACAGAAGGGCAUAUUCUGGGCUUGCUGCCAUCUUGUUAGGAUCUAAAUUGAGUUGUCUGGAUCAUCAAAGACGUUGAAGUCGAAUGGCAGCAUUUGCAGAAAGCAGCAGCUGUAAGUCUUCAGAGUUUUCUGUCAAGUGGCACUCUGUCAUGAGCAGGAGUUGGUAUCAGCUACGAUUGUACACAUUGCAGGUUUGCUGGCAUCCAUACUGUGUGUGCCAAGAUUUGUCCAACACGUGUAUCUCAACUCUCCAGGAGGCCAGCAUCUGAAUUACUGCAUGUCUGCCUGUAAGUGACUGGCUGAAGAAUUGCAGAGAUUCUGCUUUUCACAUAUGCACACGACAGAGCAAAGCAAUGCACGCUCCAGAACCAUGCAGUACUAAUGGUGCAGGUGGAAGAUGGCUGCAUACACUGGAAGUAUAUGCACAGCCAUGUGAGAUUUGUAUCUUACAGCCUUGUUGGCUGUAUUUAUCAGCUGCUUAUCCUGUGAUGGGAUAAUACCAAAUGAACUUUGAUCAGCAUUGGAACAGUAAACAAGUUAUUUAAUUGCAAAGAGAGAAUUCAUUUGUUGAGGAUUUCUCCAAAGACAACCAAAGGGAGGGAACACCAAUGGGUCCUGCACAGGCUAGUCUCCUAAAGCUAAAUAUUAGCUAGAUGUAUACAAACCAUACAUACAGUGCUGUCUCUAUAAAAGAAAUAAAAAAAGAUGAUUGCACAGCUUGGACCUUCUUUAAAAGCUAAAUCAUGGAGAGCUUUGCAAAGCCUCAUCUGUGGUCUCCAGCUACGCACCCACAGCACAUUGGCUCCAGACUUGUUUAUAAGCUAUGGUCCUCUGAUUGGUGUAGGAAAGCCUUGUCUGGGCACAGACACUGCCUUGCAGGUGUGAUCUAGGACAUGCCUUGUCAAUACAAGCUUCUCUAAUAAUCACUGGGACACUGGCUGAACCCAAUCACCAUUUCUAUCACCAGACCUGCUUUGACAUUCUCAUUCAAGUACUGUGUCCACUGGCUGAAGAGCCCUUAUUGCCAACUCUUGGCUCCCAGCCCACCUUUCCCUGCACAGCAGUUCACUUUUGUAACUCCCUGAUGUGGCCACACAUUUUGCAAAAUUUUAGGUAAAAACAAAACUUCCAUCUUCAUUAAUUGUCUAGUUACGAUUGAGAAGGAUGGAUGUGCAAUACUGCUACUGACUCAGCUUUAUCUGGUCCUUCCCACAGUGUGGAACUUUCUUCUGAAGUUACAACUUGAAUUUACAAGUUUACCUCCUCCAGAAGCCUCUGCUUGAGCUCCCUUUCUGUCUCAAGCUUCUGUUGUAAACUGCGUGCAUUCAUCUCCAACAUAGCAUGCUUCUUCUCCAGGUCAUUGAGCUAAGCAGGUGGGACAGAUGAUCAGGACAACAUAAAAGAGUGAUAAAUAUAGUGUUUCACAAUCUUAAAAUUCAACCUCACCAAACACACACAGAAGAAAAAUGAUACAAUUAUCCUUUACUUACUAUAAAGGGUUGAGGGGGAAAAAAACUGGUGUGCCACUGUUCAAAUGUUGACAUCAAGUUAUUGACAGAACUCAUUGUACACACCUGGUAUCACAGCCAUUCUCCAAAGGACACAAGUACUGACUGUGAGACAAAUGGCUAUAGAGCAGCCCCACAGAAAGGGAUCUGGGAGUGCUGGACAGUAGGCUCAACAUGAGCCAGCAGCUUGCCCUGGCAGCCAAGACCCCAAUGGACCCCAAUGCAAAUGGCAUUUUGGGGUCCAUUAAACACAGCAUAGGCACUCAGUCAAACAAGAGGAUUAUCCCACUACAUUUACCAUUGGUGCAGCCUCAUCUUGAAUAGUGUGUGCAGUUCUGGGCUCUGCACAGCAUUAAAAGGAUAAAGAUUAAGAUACUUGAAAGAAUCCAAAAGAAAGAGGAGAACAACAAAGCUGGUAAAAGGGCUAGAAGGCAUGUUCUGUGAGGAUAGGCUUGAGGACAAGUGGGUUGUCCAAUGUGAAGAAAAGGUGGGCCAAAAGGUGACUUCAUUGCCUCUUCUCCUAUUGCCUCGUUGAAAGAGGCAAGAGGUGCCUCUUUCUCCCUACUAUCUGAGGAUAGAAUGCAAGUGAAUGGCCCAGAGCUGCACCAAGGGAGGUUCAGACUGUACAUUAAGAAACAUUUCUUCACUGUGUGGCUGGUCAAAUACCAGAGACAGGCUUCCUAGUGAGGUGGUUGAUGCCCAGUGUCUGUCAGGGUUCAAAGGGCAUUUGGUAAAGCCCUUAAUAACAUGCUUCAACUUGCAGAUAGCCCUGAAGUAAUCAGACAGUUGGACGAGAUGUUCUUUGUAGGUCCCUUCCAACUGAACUAUUCUAUUGUUCUAAAAUUAAAUUCUAGGUCUUUGGCUUGAAGCUAGAAUUCUAUCCUGUUGAUCUACAGUAUUUAUUUUGCUCUUGCAUCUUGAAAAAGCUGCUCAGGACCACAAUUCUAGAAAUCAUAUCUUUAUAAAAGAAAGGUAUCUCAGCUCGUAAUGAAAGCGUAGGAUUGAAAAUUGCUUACCUUAUCAGAAAGGCUCUCAGCUUUGAGUUUUUGUUCUUUUAGUGCUUGCUGGAGGGCUAGAAUCUCUGCCUUGUGUUCUUUGACAGCUAGUUCUACCACCUGGCGAGAUUCAGUAAUACGCUGAUCUGCUCUCACUCUGAAUUAAAAUGGAAGACAAUGUUACCUAACACCUUUCUGGGUUUGACCUCUUCCUAGCAUGCAGUGGCAUCAAUAACUUUCAGAGGUUUGCCUCAAAUUCAAGAUGUUACUUUACAAAGCCUGACUGCUUGUUGCAACACUUGUAUUAUACAACCUUGCCCCACUCUAGAAAAGCUGCUUGAAAAUUUCAAUACCCUGCAGUUACACUUUGGAGCAAGGACCAACUUUUCAUAUAAUAAAGUAAAAGAGAAAAAAAAGAUGAAGACUUCUAUAAAUUCCAGUGAUAAAUACCACACCCUCUUGAAUCACUUACUUGCAAAAAAACAAAAGGAACCAUAUUAGUGGUGAAUGACUGUUAACUAAUAUGCCAUUUUUAGAACUACUUCACAAGAAUUUAUAUUUAGUUCCCACUCCCAUAUCCUAUUCCAAAUAUAUUUUUGUACUAGCUUCUAUAGAGCAUAUGCAUACAAGUUAAUAUAAAAGGGGAGGAGGGGACAAAAGACCUGCUCUGUUUCUCAGUAUCCAGCAUCCUCUGCAACUCUCUGACACGACAUUCAAACUGAGACUUCUCAUCCCCUAGAACAUUUCUCCAAGCUUCCCACUGACGCUCUUUCUCCAGGAGUUCAUCGUUCAGGGCCUCCAAGUCCAUUACUUGCUCUUCCAGCAUUGUACAUGU